CAGAGGCCAAACUGCAAGAGGACACAGGGAGCCCCCUGAUCCUCCUGCGGGGAGGGCUCCAAAGGCCUGCACAAGAUGGUGUGCCUCAGAACCACCCGUUAAGGGAAAAGAUGGAAAUUUCAGGUUCAUAGAUUUUUAAGAAUAAAAAUUCAAUUCAGCUGAAGUUGAACAGCCAAAAAAUUGCCCUUUGAUUACUCCAACAUCUUCAACAAAAGAAUAUUAAGGAAAAUAUUGUUAAUGCCACAAGAGACACACGCAGCAAUUAUUAUAUAUGUCAACGAUAACUCGGCAAGGCUGCAACCACAGCUCGACAUCCUUUUUCAUUAGGCAG